CCUACGGGAGGCAGCAGUGGGGAAUCUUGCGCAAUGGGCGAAAGCCUGACGCAGCGACGCCGCGUGGGUGAUGAAGGCCUUCGGGUUGUAAAGCUCUGUGGGGAGAGACGAAUAAGGCAUGGCUAAUAUCCAUGGUGAUGACGGUAUCUCCUUAGCAAGCACCGGCUAACUCUGUGCCAGCAGCCGCGGUAAGACAGAGGGUGCAAACGUUGUUCGGAAUUACUGGGCGUAAAGCGUGUGUAGGCGGCCAAGUAAGUUGGAUGUGAAAGCCCGGGGCUCAACCCCGGAAGUGCAUUCAAUACUGCAUGGCUUGAGUAUCGGAGAGGUUGGUGGAAUUCUCGGUGUAGAGGUGAAAUUCGUAGAUAUCGAGAGGAACACCGGUGGCGAAGGCGGCCAACUGGACGAAUACUGACGCUGAGACACGAAAGCGUGGGGAGCAAACAGGAUUAGAUACCCUGGUAGUCCACGCCGUAAACGAUGGGUGCUAGGUGUCACGGGCAUUGACUCCCGUGGUGCCGUAGCCAACGCAUUAAGCACCCCGCCUGGGAAGUACGGCCGCAAGGCUAAAACUUAAANGAAUUGACGG
rnacentral:rRNA from 1 species